UAAAUAUGUUCUCAUUCUAUCUAUUCCAAUCCAAUUUCUUCUUUAAAAUGGGAAUAGAUAGGGAAUAUUUUGAAUA
rnacentral:tRNA from 1 species